AGAUUUUGAUCCUGGUUCAGGGACGAACGCUGGCGGCGUGCCUAACACAUGCAAGUCGAACGGAGCAAAGCCCUUCGGGACUUUGCUUAGUGGCAAACGGGUGAGUAACGCGUGAGGAACCUGCCUUUCAGUGGGGGACAACAGUUGGAAACGACUGCUAAUACCGCAUAAAGUUCUUCUGGGACAUCCCUAAAGAACCAAAGAUUUAUUGCUGAAAGAUGGCCUCGCGUCUGAUUAGCUAGUUGGCGAGGUAACGGCUCACCAAGGCGACGAUCAGUAGCCGGUCUGAGAGGAUGAACGGCCACAUUGGGACUGAGAUACGGCCCAGACUCCUACGGGAGGCAGCAGUGGGGAAUAUUGGGCAAUGGGGGAAACCCUGACCCAGCAACGCCGCGUGAAGGAAGAAGGCCUUCGGGUUGUAAACUUCUUUUACCAGGGACGAAGGAUGUGACGGUACCUGGAGAAAAAGCAACGGCUAACUACGUGCCAGCAGCCGCGGUAAUACGUAGGUUGCAAGCGUUGUCCGGAUUUACUGGGUGUAAAGGGCGUGUAGGCGGAGGAGCAAGUCAGAUGUGAAAUCCCGGGGCUUAACCCCGGAACUGCAUUUGAAACUGUUCCCCUUGAGUAUCGGAGAGGCAAGCGGAAUUCCUAGUGUAGCGGUGAAAUGCGUAGAUAUUAGGAGGAACACCAGUGGCGAAGGCGGCUUGCUGGACGACAACUGACGCUGAGGCGCGAAAGCGUGGGGAGCAAACAGGAUUAGAUACCCUGGUAGUCCACGCUGUAAACGAUGAAUACUAGGUGUGGGGGGACUGACCCCCUCCGUGCCGCAGUUAACACAAU
rnacentral:rRNA from 1 species